GGCGAACGCUGGCGGCGUGCUUAACACAUGCAAGUCGAACGAGGUCCAUGAAGUAGCAAUACUUCGGAAGACCUAGUGGCGAACGGGUGCGUAACACGUGAGGAACUUGUCCCGGUCUCUGGGAUAACAGUUGGAAACGACUGCUAAUACCGGAUGACGUCGGAGCGUCGCAUGGCGCGCUGACGAAAGGGUUACCGGAUCGGGAGAGCCUCGCGGCCUAUCAGCUUGUUGGCGGGGUAAUGGCCCACCAAGGCAUCGACGGGUAGCUGGUCUGAGAGGAUGAUCAGCCACACUGGGACUGAGACACGGCCCAGACUCCUACGGGAGGCAGCAGUGGGGAAUCUUGCGCAAUGGGCGAAAGCCUGACGCAGCAACGCCGCGUGCGGGAAGAAGGCUCUCGGGUUGUAAACCGCUUUCAGCAGGAACGAAAAUGACGGUACUUGCAGAAGAAGGUGCGGCCAACUACGUGCCAGCCGCCGCGGUAA
rnacentral:rRNA from 1 species